GGCGGGUGCUAACGUCCGUCGUGGAGAGGGAAACAACCCAGACCGCCAGCUAAGGUCCCAAAGUAUUGCUAAGUGGGAAACGAUGUGGGAAGGCUCAGACAGCUAGGAUGUUGGCUUAGAAGCAGCCAUCAUUUAAAGAAAGCGUAAUAGCUCACUAGUCGAGUCGGCCUGCGCGGAAGAUGUAACGGGGCUAAGCAAUACACCGAAGCUGCGGCAAUAUCUUUUAGAUAUUGGGUAGGGGAGCGUUCUGUAAGCCGUUGAAGGUGAAUCGUAAGGUUUGCUGGAGGUAUCAGAAGUGCGAAUGCUGACAUGAGUAACGACAAAGGGGGUGAAAAACCUCCUCGCCGGAAGACCAAGGGUUCCUGUCCAACGUUAAUCGGGGCAGGGUGAGUCGACCCCUAAGGUGAGGCCGAAAGGCGUAAUCGAUGGGAAACGGGUUAAUAUUCCCGUACUUCUGACUAUUGCGAUGGGGGGACGGAGAAGGCUAGGUGGGCCAGGCGACGGUUGUCCUGGUUCAAGUGCGUAGGCUUGAGAGUUAGGUAAAUCCGGCUCUCUCUAAGGCUGAGACACGACGUCGAGCUACUACGGUAGUGAAGUCAUUGAUGCCAUGCUUCCAGGAAAGCCUCUAAGCUUCAGAUAGUCAGGAAUCGUACCCCAAACGACACAGGUGGUCGGGUAGAGAAUACCAAGGCGCUUGAGAGAACUCGGGUGAAGGAACUAGGCAAAAUGGUACCGUAACUUCGGGAGAAGGUACGCU
rnacentral:rRNA from 1 species